rnacentral:rRNA from 1 species
CCGCCGGCGACCGGCGCACGGGUGCGUAACGCGUAUGCAACCUACCUGUAACAGGGGGAUAACACUGAGAAAUCGGUACUAAUACCGCAUAACACUAUGAGAGGCAUCUCUUGUGGUUGAAAGUUUCGGCGGUUACAGAUGGGCAUGCGUUGUAUUAGCUGGUUGGUAAGGUAACGGCUUACCAAGGCGACGAUACAUAGGGGGACUGAGAGGUUAACCCCCCACAUUGGUACUGAGACACGGACCAAACUCCUACGGAAGGCAGCAG